ACGAACGCUGGCGGCAUGCCUCACACAUGCAAGUCGAACGAGACCUUCGGGUCUAGUGGCGCCCGGGUGCGUAACGCGUGGGAACCUGCCCUUAGGUUCGGAAUAACUCCCCGAAAGGGGUGCUAAUACCGGAUAAUGUCUUCGGACCAAAGAUUUAUCGCCUUUGGAUGGGCCCGCGUUGGAUUAGCUAGUUGGUAGGGUAAAAGCCUACCAAGGCGACGAUCCAUAGCUGGUCUGAGAGGAUGAUCAGCCACACUGGGACUGAGACACGGCCCAGACUCCUACGGGAGGCAGCAGUGGGGAAUAUUGGACAAUGGGCGAAAGCCUGAUCCAGCAAUGCCGCGUGAGUGAUGAAGGCCUUAGGGUUGUAAAGCUCUUUUACCCGGGAUGAUAAUGACAGUACCGGGAGAAUAAGCGCCGGCUAACUCCGUG
rnacentral:rRNA from 1 species